rnacentral:sRNA from 1 species
UUUGGAUUCAUUGAGUUUGACUCCCUGAAACUGCUACAAAUGUUUGCAGAGAUUUGCAGGUAUUUACAUGUUAUUUGCAUUUUCAGAUCCUAAUUCUGCUUCUCAUUUUUUAAAUUCUAUUCUUGUUUUUUGGAUCUAGGGGACAGUUUUGGACAGCCAUGCUCUUAUUUUACAACCUUGUCAUGUCAAGAAUGAUGCACAGAAACAAAAGACAAUUGAGAAGGAUAAGAGUUCAACAAAAUUGCUCGUAAGAAAUGUUGCUUUUGAGGCAACAGAGAAGGAUCUAAGACGAUUGUUUAGCCCCUUUGGCCAGAUUAAAAGCUUAAGGUUGCCAAUGAAGUUUGGAAGCCAUAGAGGCUUUGCUUUUGUAGAGUAUGUUACUCAGCAGGAGGCACAAAAUGCUCUCAAAGCACUGUCAAGCACCCAUCUCUAUGGGAGACAUCUGGUAAGUCAAACAAAAUCUUGCAUUUGAUAACUUUAGUGAAUCCACUUGUGUUCUUCCAAGUACUUUAGAACUAAUAGCCACUAUUUUCAUGUGAUAGAGAGAGCGAAAGAAGGUGAGAGUUUGGAAGAACUGCUAGCACGAACAGCUUCUCAAUUUAGUGACAACAACAAUGGAUUUCAAGCUAUUAAAUUAUCCAAGAAAAGAAAGGACGUUGACAUCUUAGAUGAAGGGAAGAUGAAGUUUGGAAGAUUUGAUGACUAAACAGUUUUUGUGCAUAUGUCCUGAAAAUUCUGGGAUCACAAUUUUGUCAUAGGUUCUAAGAUAUCGCAUACCAUCUCAAGUGUUAAACAGCUUCUAACAUUAGUUUUGUAUUCUGUAUCCAUAAUUCAAUCUCCUAUAAAAUUUUGUUCUCUUAU